rnacentral:tRNA from 5 species
GGCCCUAUCGUCUAGUUGGUCUAGGACGUAGCGUUCUCAGCGCUAAAACAUGGGUUCAAAUCCCAUUAGGGCUA